GACGAACGCUGGCGGCGUGCUUAACACAUGCAAGUCGAACGGUGAAGCGCCUUCCUUUUUGGUGGGUGUGGAUGAGUGGCGAACGGGUGAGUAACACGUGAGUAACCUGCCCCCUUCUUCUGGAUAACCGCAUGAAAGUGUGGCUAAUACGGGAUAUUCUGGGUCUGUCGCAUGAUGGUCUUGGAAAGGUAUUGUUUUCGUGGGGGAUGGGCUCGCGGCCUUUCAGGUUGUUGGUGGGGUGAUGGCCUAACAAGGGGGUGACGGGUAGCCGGCCUGAGAGGGUGGACGGUCACACUGGGACUGAGACACGGCCCAGACUCCUACGGGAGGCAGCAGUGGGGAAUAUUGCACAAUGGGCGCAAGCCUGAUGCAGCGACGCCGCGGGAGGGAUGGAGGCCUUCGGGUUGUGAACCUCUUUCGCCAGUGAAGCAGGCCUGCCUCGUUUGUGGGUGGGUUGACGGUAGCUGGAGAAGAAGCGCCGGCUAACUACGUG
rnacentral:rRNA from 1 species